CCUACGGGAGGCUGCAGUGGGGGAUAUUGCACAAUGGGGGAAACCCUGAUGCAGCGACGCCGCGUGGGUGAAGAAGUAUUUCGGUAUGUAAAGCCCUAUCAGCAGGGAAGAAAGAAGACGGUACCUGACUAAGAAGCCCCGGCUAACUACGUGCCAGCAGCCGCGGUAAUACGUAGGGGGCGAGCGUUAUCCGGAUUCACUGGGUGUAAAGGGAGCGUAGACGGCCGUGCAAGCCAGGAGUGAAAGCCCGGGGCCCAACCCCGGGACUGCUCUUGGAACUGUGCGGCUGGAGUGCGGGAGGGGCAGGCGGAAGUCCUGGUGUAGCGGUGAAAUGCGUAGAUAUCAGGAGGAACACCGGCGGCGAAGGCGGCCUGCUGGACCGCGACUGACGUUGAGGCUCGAAAGCGUGGGGAGCGAACAGGAUUAGAUACCCCAGUAGUC
rnacentral:rRNA from 1 species